rnacentral:rRNA from 1 species
AUUGAACGCUGGCGGCAUGCUUUACACAUGCAAGUCGAACGGCAGCGCGGGCUUCGGCCUGGCGGCGAGUGGCGAACGGGUGAGUAAUACAUCGGAACGUGCCCAGUAGUGGGGGACAGCUCGGCGAAAGCCGGAUUAAUACCGCAUACGACCUGAGGGUGAAAGCGGGGGAUCUUCGGACCUCGCGCUAUUGGAGCGGCCGAUGGCAGAUUAGCUAGUUGGUGGGGUAAAGGCCUACCAAGGCGACGAUCUGUAGCUGGUCUGAGAGGACGACCAGCCACACUGGGACUGAGACACGGCCCAGACUCCUACGGGAGGCAGCAGUGGGGAAUUUUGGACAAUGGGCGAAAGCCUGAUCCAGCAAUGCCGCGUGUGUGAUGAAGGCCUUCGGGUUGUAAAGCACUUUUGGCGGGAACGAAAAGGACUGUGCCAAUACCACGGUUCGAUGACGGUACCCGCAGAAUAAGCACCGGCUAACUACGU